UGCUGGUGGAUUAGUGGCGAACGGGUGAGUAACACGUGAGUAACCUGCCCUUAACUCUGGGAUAAGCCUGGGAAACUGGGUCUAAUACCGGAUAUGACCUUCCAUCGCAUGGUGGUUGGUGGAAAGCUUUUUGUGGUUUUGGAUGGACUCGCGGCCUAUCAGCUUGUUGGUGAGGUAAUGGCUUACCAAGGCGACGACGGGUAGCCGGCCUGAGAGGGUGACCGGCCACACUGGGACUGAGACACGGCCCAGACUCCUACGGGAGGCAGCAGUGGGGAAUAUUGCACAAUGGGCGCAAGCCUGAUGCAGCGACGCCGCGUGAGGGAUGACGGCCUUCGGGUUGUAAACCUCUUUCAGUAGGGAAGAAGCGAAAGUGACGGUACCUGCAGAAGAAGCGCCGGCUAACUACGUGCCAGCAGCCGCGGUAAUACGUAGGGCGCAAGCGUUAUCCGGAAUUAUUGGGCGUAAAGAGCUCGUAGGCGGUUUGUCGCGUCUGCCGUGAAAGUCCGGGGCUCAACUCCGGAUCUGCGGUGGGUACGGGCAGACUAGAGUGAUGUAGGGGAGACUGGAAUUCCUGGUGUAGCGGUGAAAUGCGCAGAUA
rnacentral:rRNA from 1 species